UCAGUAACGGCGAGUGAAGCGGCAAUAGCUCAAAUUUGAAAUCUGGGCCUUUUAGGUCCCGAGUUGUAAUUUGUAGAAGAUGCUUUGGGUGUGGCCUCGGUCUAAGUUCCUUGGAACAGGACGUCAUAGAGGGUGAGAAUCCCGUAUGUGACUGAGUGCCUAUGCCCCCAGAAAGCUCUUUCGACGAGUCGAGUUGUUUGGGAAUGCAGCUCAAAAUGGGUGGUAAAUUUCAUCUAAAGCUAAAUAUUGGCCAGAGACCGAUAGCGCACAAGUAGAGUGAUCGAAAGAUGAAAAGCACUUUGGAAAGAGAGUUAAACAGUACGUGAAAUUGUUGAAAGGGAAGCGCUUGCAACUAGACUCGCAGGUCGUCGAUCAUCCGGGGUUCUCCCCAGUGCACUCGGCGGCCCUCGGGCCAGCAUCGGUUUAGGUGGUUAGAUAAAAGCCAUGGGAAUGUAGCUGUCUUCGGGCAGUGUUAUAGCCCUCGGUACAAUGUAGCCUACCUGGACUGAGGACCGCGCUUCGGCUAGGAUGCUGGCGUAAUGGUUGCAAGCGACCCGUCUUGAAACACGGACCAAGGAGUCUAACAUCUAUGCGAGUGUUUGGGUGCAAAACCCAUACGCGUAAUGAAAGUGAACGGAGGUGAGAACCCGUUAGGGUGCAUCAUCGACCGAU
rnacentral:rRNA from 1 species